rnacentral:rRNA from 1 species
UACGUAGGGGGCAAGCGUUGUCCGGAAUCAUUGGGCGUAAAGCGCGUGUAGGCGGCUCGGUAAGUCCGCUCUGAAAGUCCAGGGCUCAACCCUGGGAUGCGGGUGGAUACUGCCGGGCUCGAGUCCGGAAGAGGCGAGUGGAAUUCCCGGUGUAGCGGUGAAAUGCGCAGAUAUCGGGAGGAACACCAAUGGCGAAGGCAGCUCGCUGGGACGUGACUGACGCUGAGACGCAAAGCGUGGGGGAGCAAACAG